rnacentral:lncRNA from 1 species
UGAAGUAAGAAAUACAGAGGUUAAAUUUUGUGUGACAUAUAUUGUCCCUUUUCUUAGGAUAUUCUGACCCGCUGUUGCUGGUGUUACUGAUCAUUGUGACCUUAUUGGGUGGUCUUCUCUGUCUUCUUCUCAUCUGGUUCUGCAGACGGAGACUGCUUUGCCGCCAAGCCAAAAUCUGGCAUGUUGGCAAACAUCCAAAAUUUCAGAUUCAACCAGCAGAUCAACCUAAUGAUGUAAUCAGCAUUCCCAGAGCAAUGGAAAGAAAUGGAACCUCUAUCAAAACUUUACCAGUGACCAGCUACCCACACAACGUCCUCAGUGGAGAUUUACAGAGCAUCAUGGCCCCCCUGAUAGCAAACGGAAACCCAAAAUUGAUGCAGGUGUUGCAGAAGGAGUCCUGGCCAGCACCGGUGCUGUACACUGUCAUAAGAGAGAUUCCCGUGACGCGCUGGAAGGAAUUUUUGCGACUGCUUUCUGUGUCAGAUGAUCAGAUGGAACGGAUCGAACUGGAGGCAGGCCCAUCCUAUCUGGAAAAGCAGUAUCAUAUGCUACGUCUGUGGAGCCAGAGCAGUGGAGCGAAGAUGGAGAAUAUCUACUCGACAUUACACUACAUGAACCUGUCAGGCUGUGCCCAGGAACUGCAAGAGAAGCUAGAACAACUGCAAGCAAGCAUGAAAGCUCACUCAUCUUGACUCCAUCUCCUCAUGUGUGUGAGCUGCAGUUGCAUUUCACAAUCAUUUACAGUUAACUCUGAACAGCAGAUGCUCUUGUCUUCUGAACUUUUAACAGGAAACCCGCAGUCAUAGUUAAAAAAUUCUUCUUUGUGAAUUGUUUUAUUUAAGUAUAAUGUAAAAUAAAUGCAGGUCAUUAUGCAUAUCAUAGGUGCUUUGUAAUAACUGUUUAUAAUCCUUGUUCUUGGUUAUAUGAAUUAGCCUUUUGUCACUAUACUGUACAAAUGUGGAUUUUCAAAGAAUUGUUGACCAAUUCAAAGUUUGAACUUAAAUGUUUAAAUGUUAUCAUCCAUCAACUUAAGGAGAUAUCUAGUGGUUUUCAGGAUAAACGUAGCUGCUUAUUUGUUUCACGCUAAAGGUUAUUUUAAGUUCUCAGUCAUAUUGUACAUGGGCAUGUUUUAAAUAUUACUUUACACUCACUGUGUACACUUGUCACACCAGUAUAUAUUUGUUACUUUUCUUAAUAAAAAUGUAUGGAAUAUGUAUGGCUCUUAACAGCAUCAUGUAGUAAAAAAAAAAAGGAAAGCAUGACAGAG